rnacentral:rRNA from 1 species
AUUGAACGCUGGCGGCAUGCCUUACACAUGCAAGUCGAACGGCAGCACGGGAGCAAUCCUGGUGGCGAGUGGCGAACGGGUGAGUAAUAUAUCGGAACGUGCCCAGUCGUGGGGAUAACGUAGCGAAAGCUACGCUAAUACCGCAUACGAUCUAUGGAUGAAAGCGGGGGAUCGCAAGACCUCGCGCGAUUGGAGCGGCCGAUAUCAGAUUAGGUAGUUGGUGAGGUAAAGGCUCACCAAGCCGACGAUCUGUAGCUGGUCUGAGAGGACGACCAGCCACACUGGGACUGAGACACGGCCCAGACUCCUACGGGAGGCAGCAGUGGGGAAUUUUGGACAAUGGGCGCAAGCCUGAUCCAGCAAUGCCGCGUGCAGGAUGAAGGCCUUCGGUUGUAACUGCUUUGUUACGGUAACGAACGGUAGAGGCUCUAAUACAG